AGAAUUAAAAAAAAAGAAUUGGAAGUUGGUAGAGAAAAAAAUGGCUAGAAAUGUGAAAAUCACCCACCCUUCAACAAUUUCAUCGAGACUAAAGAGAGCAGGUGAAUAGCCAUUCCCAUUUUUAUCAUAUAGAGAUUAUAGAACCAAGGAAUAAUAUCCAUUUUGGAGAAAUGAAAAUAAAUAAAUAAAUAAAAAGAAGGAGAAAAAACCAUACUCGGUCUGCGUCGCUGUCGUAGGUUUGAAGUGAGCAUACAAAGACCAUGUGCUAGUCGGUUACAAGCCUUUUCACAAGAUGAUAAAAGAUGCAGUAACAUGAGGAGAGUCAACAAUGGAAGUCAUCUUGUUCGCGGUGAUUUUAAGCAAACGUUCGCUGGUUCUACGGGCCACUUACCAGCACCACUUAUACCCAUCAAAGCUGUGAGAACACCUUGUCUGAAAGCACCACUCACACCCAUGAGAAGCACCAGUUUAUCCUCAUGGAUACCCUGGUUUUCCAUUCCCUGAAAAUGGAACCUAGACAAAUGGGUCUUGUAUUUUAACACUAGUCAAAUCUGAAAGUUGAAAAACAAGCUUUAUCACUUUUAUGUUUCCUGUGGCAUGUCAACGGAGUAUGUGUUCUCAGCAAUAUCUUCAGUCCUAACAGAUGAGGAUCUGGAGGGACUAUUUCCAAUCUUUAUUUCUUGAUCUCCACUCUCUACCUAUCGAUUAGAAUUCAAUAACUCCAUAUGUAAGGUACCACACCUGAAAGCCAUUACAUUAGGUCACAUUUACAGAGCCGAAAGUAGUUGGGAGUUGAGAUCAAAAAAUUAAGAUUCGAAGUAGUCUUUCCAGGCUUUCAUCUGUUAAAGCUAUAUUGCUCAGAUCAAUUAUAACAGGAACACUGAAAUGAUCCUUCCAUUCGAACCGCAUUUCAUCACUGUUGAGGAUAUCGCCUACUCUGUUGACAUGCCAAAGGGAAUGAACAACCGGGGAUCCUUGAGGAUAAACUGGUGCUUCUCAAGGGUGAGUGGUGCUGCCGGUAAAACAACUCUUAUGGAUGUUCUGGCCGGUAGGAAAACUGGAGGCUAUAUGGACAAAACUAUCACAAUUUCUGGUCUCCCACGAACCAACAUAUUGCUUUCAGGUCGGGCGUUCUCACAGCUUUGAUGGGUGUAAGCGCUGCUGGUAAAACAACUCUUACGGAUGUUCGGGCUGGUGGGAAAAGUGGAGGCUAUAUUACAGUUCUGGUUUCCCUGUUAACCAACAAAUAAACAUUGGCUUGAAUUUCUGAUAAUGCAUGAACAUAUAUGCCGAAUAAAUAAAAGAAAACUAAACAGUGAAGCGAAUGGAGAAUAUUUCAUUGAUAUUCAAACCUACAAAACUUGUAAUUAUGUAUAAUUACGUCUGUAUGUAAAGGGAAUUACAAUAAAAAUGUCAAGGACCUCUAACGUAUGCUAACAACCAUUGUAUGCUAACAUCUGAUUCACAUGUGCAAUCAAACGUCAGCUUACAAGCAGACAUAUUGUUAAUCACUAAUUAAUUCCUCUCUUUAUUGCACCAAAAACUGUUAGUUUGAAAUAUAUAAUUCUCUUGUUAAUUUCACAAAUAUAUAAUAUGUUUCACUUCUCUUCAUCCUCUGAGU